rnacentral:rRNA from 1 species
CCUACGGGUGGCAGCAGUGAGGAAUAUUGGUCAAUGGGCGCGAGCCUGAACCAGCCAAGUAGCGUGAAGGAUGACUGCCCUACGGGUUGUAAACUUCUUUUAUAAAGGAAUAAAGUGACGCACGUAUGCCGUUUUGCAUGUACUUUAUGAAUAAGGAUCGGCUAACUCCGUGCCAGCAGCCGCGGUAAUACGGAGGAUCCGAGCGUUAUCCGGAUUUAUUGGGUUUAAAGGGAGCGUAGAUGGGUUGUUAAGUCAGUUGUGAAAGUGUGCGGCUCAACCGUGAAAUUGCAAUUGAUACUGGCAGCCUUGAGUACAGUUGAGGUAGGCGGAAUUCGUGGUGUAGCGGUGAAAUGCUUAGAUAUCACGAAGAACUCCGAUUGCGAAGGCAGCUUACUAAACUGCAACUGACGUUGAUGCUCGAAAGUGUGGGUAUCAAACAGGAUUAGAUACCCGAGUAGUC